CACAGCCAAAAAUAGCCAUGGGCUCACCUGAGCAAGGGGGGGAGGGCGGGGGGGGGCCAGGGCUGCCCGCCUGCCUUCGUCCCACUGCUCCAUAUUAAUGAGCUCCCUCUUCCUCCCCCUCCUUCUCCUCCUCCUCCUCCUCCUCCCCCGGUGUCGGGCUGUGCAGCCGGGGCUGUGUUACCUGAGCGCAGCCCGAGGAGGCCACCGCCAUGGCCGGCUGCUCCCCCAGGCUCCAGCUCUGGCUCCUGCUCCACGUCUCCUGCCUCUGCCUGGCCCAGAUCCGAGGGCCGCCGGGAGAGCCCGGCCCGCGAGGUCCCCCCGGUCCCCCAGGAGUGCCAGGAGUGGAUGGCAUUGACGGUGACAAAGGCUCUCCUGGAGCCCCUGGGUCCCCGGGUACCAAGGGCGAGCCUGGAGUUCCUGGUCCGGAUGGGCCCCCGGGGAAGCCGGGCAUCGAUGGCCUGACGGGAGCGAAAGGGGAGCCAGGACCCAUCGGUGGGCCAGGAGUUAAAGUGAGUCAGGGGGUGCUCCGGGGCACCCACCUUCCCCCCCCAGAGCCAGGGGGUCCUGGCCAGCUUGGGACCAGCCCGGCCACUCUGGGCUCCCACCUUCCCUCCCCCCGGAU
rnacentral:lncRNA from 1 species